rnacentral:snRNA from 1 species
GCAUGUUCUCUGGCUGCGACAUCUGUCAACCCAUUGAUCGCCAGGGUUGAUUCGGCUGAUCUGGCUGGCUAGGCGGGUGUCCCCUUCCUCCCUCACCACUCCAUGUGCGUCCCUCCCAAAGCUGCGCUCUCCGUCGAAGAGGACGACCAUCCCCGAUAGAGGAGAGGACCGUUCUUCCGUCAAGGGUAUACGAGUAGCUGCGCUCCCCUUCUAGAACCUCCAAACAAGCUCUCAAAAUUGCUAAGAGAAAAUAAAAAUCUUGAUAUUAUUUCAUAUCAACUCUAUUAUGAAAAAUAUGCUUUUAUGAUGUUUAU